rnacentral:rRNA from 1 species
CGGGACGGGUGAGUAACGCGUGGGUAACCUGCCUCAUACAGGGGGAUAACAGUUAGAAAUAGGCUGCUAAUACCGCAUAAGACCACAGUACUGCAUGGUACAGUGGUAAAAACUCCGGUGGUAUGAGAUGGACCCGCGUCUGAUUAGGUAGUUGGUGAGGUAACGGCCCACCAAGCCGACGAUCAGUAGCCGACCUGAGAGGGUGACCGGCCACAUUGGGACUGAGACACGGCCCAG